GCUAAUAGAUUGUGUCAUAGGCAACGUAACAAAAACAUAGGUGAAGAAAUAGUUAUUGGCGGGAGGGGCAGGUACUUUCCUACCACAGGGGCAGAUUUGACUCAUUCUGUUUACAGAAGUAUAUCUGUUGAGCCACCGUUAACUUUUGGCAAUAAAAAAGAAGAUAUUUGCGUUCCAGCAAUGCCGCGAAAAAAGAGAAGCCAUGCCCAUCAUAAAAAGUCACAGGGGCAGAGAACAGCUCCUAGUACCACACUUGGAGAGCAGCAGGUGGAUGACAGGCCCUAUAAUACUCAAGCUGCUGCAGCCUCUAAGGCUCAGCCUGCUUUUGACUGCUGUCAAUGCUUUAAGAAAGCGCCCAAAGGUUACCAAGAGUUACCGAGUGAGUCGUUCCCACCCGAGUUGUUCCACCCCAGUUCGCAGCCUAGACAGUACUCACCCACUUCAGUGGCACAGGUUGCUGUGAAUCCAGCACAAUUUGAGAGUGCAUCUGCCGCCUCCACCAUGGCUACAAAGCCAGGGGCGGUGUCCGUGACAAUGGGUGGUGCCACAGCAAGUGGUGCCACAGCGGGAGGAAGUCCUACUACAGCAGGGACAACACAAAGAGGAACGGCCAAAGUGGCGAUGCCAGAGACGGCACUCGUCUCUCCAGCUGGUGCUACUAUUAUUGACAUACCAACACCUGGGACCAAAGGCAGUCCUAAAGACACCCCAAAGCCGGCACCCAUGCACCCGGCCAAAGCUACACCUCCUACCACUGGAGGUGGCAUUAUUGUAGUGGAGGCAGUACCUCCAUGGAAAGCUGAAGUACCAACGCUUCAAGAGUCUCUGAAACAGACAGCCAAGAGUGUGCCCACCACAUCAAGCAAAGUUGACAUGGCUAAAAAGGAUCCUGCUAAGUUGGUUACGGCUGUUGCUGCACCAGCUGCCGCGGCUGGAGCUGCCUCUCUGAAGGGGCCACAGACUAAGGUACAGGUGGAAGUAGUUCCCCCAGGAGCUAAGGCAGCCAAAGAGGAGCUUGCUGUGGACCCGUUCGAUGCCCUGGCUGAUUCCUUACCCUCAUCAGAGUCUUUCGCACCUGCAGCCCAUGUAUACACCGGGCCAGAGGUGAUAGAGCAUGGACUGACCUCAAAGAAGGGAGUGAUAUGUGGGGGGGACGACUGCCCACUGCCCCCAGGAUACCGAUCUGAAGACAUGGCCCCAGUUGCAGAUGUCAAGCCAAAAGAUGUCCCGAAACCCAUGAGCACAGAUGAGGCUCUGGACUCCCUGUCCUUUGGGUUCACAACCUCUAUGGCUCCCAUCCCUCAGAAACAGGAGAAGAAAGUGGAAGACUUGGGUGCCAUUGAUGCCUUGUCUGCUGGCUUCUCAAACUUUGCUCCACCUCCACCCGCUCCCAUCAAGAAAGCUGAAGAGUUUAAGUCUGCGCCUGUGACCAAGUCUCCUGCUCCCCCCAUUGACAAGAAAGCUAAGGUGGAAAAGUUUGCUGAUGACUUCUCUCUGAUGUCAGGAUUGGACUCCCCACUGGACACCAAGCCCAAGACAGCUGAGAGUGUUCCCACCACAUCAAGCAAAGUUGACAUGGCUAAAAAGGAUCAUGCUAAGUUGGUUACGGCUGUUGCUGCACCAGCUGCGGCGGCUGGAGAUGCUUCUCUGAAGGGGCCACAGACUAAGAAAGUUGAGGAUUUGGCUGCCAUUGAUGCCUCGUCUGCUGGCUUUUCCAACUUUGCUCCACCUCCACCCGCUCCCAUCAAGAAAGCUGAAGAGUUUAAGUCUGCGCCUGUGACCAAGUCUCCUGCUCCCCCCAUUGACAAGAAAGCUAAGGUGGAAAAGUUGGCUGAUGACUUCUCUCUGAUGUCAGGAUUGGACUCCCCACUGGACACCAAGCCCAAGACAGCUGAGAGUGUGCCCACCACAUCAAGCAAAGUUGACAUGGCUAAAAAGGAUCCUGCUAAGUUGGUUACGGCUGUUGCUGCACCAGCUGCCGCAGCUGGAGAUGCUUCUCUGAAGGGGCCACAGACUAAGGUACAGGUGGAAGUAGUUCCCCCAGGAGCUAAGGCAGCCAAAGAGCUAGCACCCAUGCACCCGGCCAAAGCUACACCUCCUACCACUGGAGGUGGCAUUAUUGUAGUGGAGGCAGUACCUCCAUGGAAAGCUGAAGUACCAACGCUUCAAGAGUCUCUGAAACAGACAGCCAAGAGUGUGCCCACCACAUCAAGCAAAGUUGACAUGGCUAAAAAGGAUCCUGCUAAGUUGGUUACGGCUGUUGCUGCACCAGCUGCCGCAGCUGGAGAUGCUUCUCUGAAGGGGCCACAGACUAAGGUACAGGUGGAAGUAGUUCCCCCAGGAGCUAAGGCAGCCAAAGAGCUAGCACCCAUGCACCCGGCCAAAGCUACACCUCCUACCACUGGAGGUGGCAUUAUUGUAGUGGAGGCAGUACCUCCAUGGAAAGCUGAAGUACCAACGCUUCAAGAGUCUCUGAAACAGACAGCCAAGAGUGUGCCCACCACAUCAAGCAAAGUUGACAUGGCUAAAAAGGAUCCUGCUAAGUUGGUUACGGCUGUUGCUGCACCAGCUGCCGCAGCUGGAGAUGCUUCUCUGAAGGGGCCACAGACUAAGGUACAGGUGGAAGUAGUUCCCCCAGGAGCUAAGGCAGCCAAAGAGGAGCUUGCUGUGGACCCGUUCGAUGCCCUGGCUGAUUCCUUACCCUCAUCAGAGUCUUUCGCCCCUGCAGCCCAUGUAUACACCGGGCCAGAGGUGAUAGAGCAUGGACUGACCUCAAAGAAGGGAGUGAUAUGUGGGGGGGACGACUGCCCACUGCCCCCAGGAUACCGAUCUGAAGACAUGGCCCCAGUUGCAGAUGUCAAGCCAAAAGAUGUCCCGAAACCCAUGAGCACAGAUGAGGCUCUGGACUCCCUGUCCUUUGGGUUCACAACCUCUAUGGCUCCCAUCCCUCAGAAACAGGAGAAGAAAGUGGAAGACUUGGGUGCCAUUGAUGCCUUGUCUGCUGGCUUCUCAAACUUUGCUUCACCUCCACCCGCUCCCAUCAAGAAAGCUGAAGAGUUUAAGUCUGCGCCUGUGACCAAGUCUCCUGCUCCCCCCAUUGACAAGAAAGCUAAGGUGGAAAAGUUGGCUGAUGACUUCUCUCUGAUGUCAGGAUUGGACUCCCCACUGGACACCAAGCCCAAGACAGCUGAGAUUGUGCCCACCACAUCAAGCAAAGUUGACAUGGCUAAAAAGGAUCCUGCUAAGUUGGUUACGGCUGUUGCUGCACCAGCUGCCGCAGCUGGAGAUGCUUCUCUGAAGGGGCCACAGACUAAGAAAGUUGAGGAUUUGGCUGCCAUUGAGGCCUCGUCUGCUGGCUUUUCCAACUUUGCUCCACCUCCACCCGCUCCCAUCAAGAAAGCUGAAGAGUUUAAGUCUGCGCCUGUGACCAAGUCUCCUGCUCCCCCCAUUGACAAGAAAGCUAAGGUGGAAAAGUUUGCUGAUGACUUCUCUCUGAUGUCAGGAUUGGACUCCCCACUGGACACCAAGCCCAAGACAGCUGAGGGUGGCUCCAUGUCCCUGGAUGCUCUCAGCGCUCUGGGAGACUCUCUGCCUGCUCCAGAACCAGCACCUCAACCUCCCAAGAUCAGACAUGAGGACAUAGUCAUGGAGGGCAAACUCACAUCGAAGAAGGGAGUGUUUGUGGGUGAGCGAGAUGACACACUCCCACCAAAGUACAGGUUCACAGAAAACAAAGUCAAAGACCUGCCUCCUCUGAAGCCAGAGGCAAUGGCAGAGGCCAAAGUCCAGGCUGUAGUUAGACCCAAGCAGCCGUCGAUGGAUGACAGCGAGGCCCUUGACCUCUUGUCUAGAGACUUGUCUUCCUCAGCUGGUCCAGCUGCAGCCUCAGUAGCCGUGACAACAGAGCAGAGACAGCCUAGACUGGAGCCCAUGUCUGCCCCUGUCCUGGAUGACCUGGCAGGCACCCUGCUCCCAGACGCCCCCGUGUUCAAAUCUAAGGGAGACAAGCCAAAGUUUAGGAAAAGCAAACGAAGGCCGGGAUUUAAUCCAAUUGCGGGUUAAAGGCAAUUCAGCUUUAAAAGGCAAUGUUCCUGCGGUCGCAUUCACGAGCAAGUCAAGGUCAAAGUCAAAGAAACAACGGGAAGAGGAUCCGUCAUCCAUAGACCACCUGUCUGGACAGCUGAGUUCAGACGUAGUGUCAGCAUCCACAAAUAAGGGUGGCAAGAGCUAGACAUCUAUGUAAGGACUACAAGACUCAACCAUCUUUAUUGAAUUUUCAUUUUUUUUUUUUUUUUACCUGUAUUUAACUAGGCAAGCCAGUUAAGAACACAUUCUUAUUUACAAUGACGGCCUACACCGGCCAAACUCAGACGACGCUGGGUCAAUUGUGCGCUGCCCAAUGGGACUCCCAAUCACGGCCGGUUGUGAUACAGUCUGUAUUCGAACCAGGUUGUCUGUAGUGACGCCUCUAGCUGAGAUGCAGUGCCUUAGACCACUGCGCCACUUGGAAGACAAUGUGACUGUAAUGCAUGCUUGCAUGUCUCUUAUUCCCUAAAGUACUAGCAUACAUACUUUUUAGUCUGAAUCUACUGGCAUGGCAUACUUAUUAGUAUCUUAUGACAGGCUUUUGAGUCUUCUCCUGUGACAUUGACUGAUGUACUUUGAGAUAUAUUGCAGGUUUCUAGCGCACUACAUGUCCCCUGCCACACGGUGGCACCAUUCGAGGGAGCUGCUGUGAAUGAUUCUAUUUUUCUAAAUGGUGGAGAACAUAUACUGGAUAAAAAACCAACAUGACCACACACUUACACACAUGCGCAUGUACACACACACACACACACACACCACAGUGUGCAACGCCUUUCUUGCUUGGUUUCGCACAUGACAGAAGAUUGUACUAGUUUUGGUUUCUUUCAUUUGACAUGAGGAGAGCAAAAUAAAGAGGGAGAGCGAGGGAGUUUGGCCUGACUUAUUUCCCAGGAUUGACAGAGAAUCUGUCCAAUCCUGUAAGGAAAAUAAAUCUGGGCUUUGCCCACAAGUGGCCUGACUGUCCAUCCUAGCUAACUGUCUGCAUUGCCCCAACGUUGCAGUGACGUUGCUGCUACGUUGCUGCAAUAUUGCUACAGCGUUGGGGGUAAUAGUGAGUGUCAUGUGUUUCGGAACAGUAUAUAGGGGUUAUGUAGGAUUGGGAUGUCUGUCCAAUCUUGAUGUACACAGAAAAGUGAGUUUUCUCUUAAGUGGACACCCACCAUAAUACACUAGUGUACAGCAUAGUCUGCUCAAUAUUGAAACGUAUAAAAGGAUUUACAGGAAAUCAUCUGCUUGAUACGGAUGCAUCUGAGAGCAAUUCUAUAUAUUUACUUUCUGUAAAGCAAUAUCUAUUAAGAAGGGUUUGUAUAUGUGUACUUUGCCUUAUAAAAGCAUUAUUGGUUUCAGAAAGUGGGCACAGAAGUUAACUUAGGCAGUCACUACGUCUGUAAACUGCCUUUGUAUACUGUAAAGACUUGCUCUAGAUAUGAGGACACUGUGUAAUUUACACAGUCUAAAGGGCUAUCUAUCACUUCUAGUCAAAAAGUCCAAAGUUUUGUGGAUUAUUUCCCCAAGAUGGUAUCACAGAAUUCUACAUAUUUAGGUGCAGGUCUCAAACUUAAGUUGAGAGAUAUUUUGGAAAUGGGAAUUCUAAUUAAAUAAAUACAAAUAUGUGAAUAAUCAUUGUGUUGUGUGUAUUCAGCAUUCAUGGGUCUGAACUAACUCCUUGUGCCACGCUCAACAACUGAAAACAGAAAAAUAUUUUUUCUAGCUAACAUGGGGUAACCUAAAAUGUGCAUUGCCAAUAAAUAAAUGAAUGCCUAUAACAAGACAGUAGUAUAAUACAUUUGUGUAAGAGGGUCUUUCGGUAUAGGGAACUUACUGUAUAUCUGUGUUGCAGUUAAGGGGAAGAAAGUUAUAAUAUUUUAGAAACAUUUUCACAUGUAAUAUUAGGACAAUCUUUCUGUUGUACAAAGCAGCGCAGUAGUUUUUUAUUUUAUUUUGUAAAGCUUUACAAAGCUCCUUCUGCCUCUGAGUUUUGGAACGUGUGUUCAACCUCGACUCAAGUCUGACUUUUUUCUUUUUUUUUGUGCAACGGCCUUCGGCGCUUGAGGAGUAGAAGUUGAGUAGAUUUCAAGUGUCGUAAACAAAACCUAAUAAAAAUCUAUGUGGUUUCACCA